UUCAGUCAAUCAAAAGGGGCUCCAAGAACAAAAGAGUCGCCGUCGUCUUCACAGAUCGGGAGAGGGAAGAAUCGAGUGAUCAAGCAGCGAACGGAGGUGGUCUCGGUGGUGGUAAUCGAUCGGAAUAAGUGAGCAUCUCCAGUGUUUGGCCGAACCAAAGGAAGGAAGGAAGGAAGGCACGAGGCCGCGGCUCUGCAUCCAGUCCUUGCUCGUCGUAGACCACAAAGAAGACCGAAGGAGGAUGAAGCUCGCAGGCGGCACUUCGUCAGUCGAUUCGUGAAGAGGGUGUAGUCUCCGGAUCGACGAGACAGAAGAGACGGAGGGCGUGAAGAAGCAGCGAAGUUUUGCUGGUCUCUUCCGGCUGCGAGGUGUGAGUCGUUGGUCUUGGUGGGUGCUUUGCUCCAGUCCUUGCUCGUCGUAGACCACAAAGAAGACCGAAGGAGAAUGAAGCUCGCAGGCUGCACUUCGUCGGUCGAUUAGCGUAGAAGGAGGAGUCUCCGGAUCGAUGAGACAGAAGACACGGACGGCGUAAAGAAGCAACGAAGUUUUGCUCGUCUCUUCCGGUUGCGAGGUGUGAGUCGUCGGUCUUGGUGGGUGCUUUGCUCCAGUCGAUAGAAUAUGAGUGGAGGGGGUGUUCGGUGGUCACGCGGCCACGAGGAUGGGAGGCGAUCGGUCGUUGGGUGGGAGAAGCACCUCCGGUGCUUCACUGUUUCGCAGAGGAGAAAACGAAAACAACAAUGGUAAAGAUUCGAUCGUGAAUCGAUGGGUGAUGGAGGGAAGAGCUCCGACAGCAGCAUAAGCAGUGAUUGAAGGGCUGUCCGGCUGGUUCGUUUGACAGGUAGCAAGGAGGAAAAAAGGGGUUGUUCCCCCUUUUUUACCGGAAAUAGCAACACACCCCCGGUGUGUUCUUGGCAGCCCACAAAUCAGAAAAGAAAGAGAGAAUGAGCAGGGAGUGUUGUGAGGGACGAGUGACGCAACAAUGGAAAUAAUCUUGAUCAGAUUUUUGGGAGAUUUUUUUUUUUUGUAUUUCAAAAUCUUGAAAUUGAUCUUAGAGUACUUAGCAUUA